AUGCACGCUGGCGGCGUGCCUAAUACAUGCAAGUCGCUCUAACGGACGAGAAGCUUGCUUUUCUGAUGUUAGCGGCGGCCGGGUGAGUAACACGUGGAUAACCUACCUAUAAGACUGGGAUAACUUCGGGAAACCGGAGCUAAUACCGGAUAAUAUUUUGAACCGCAUGGUUCAAAAGUGAAAGACGGUCUUGCUGUCACUUAUAGCUGGAUCCGCGCUGCAUUAGCUAGUUGGUAAGGUAACGGCUUACCAAGGCAACGAUGCAUAGCCGACCUGAGAGGGUGAUCGGCCACACUGGAACUGAGACACGGUCCAGACUCCUACGGGAGGCAGCAGUAGGGAAUCUUCCGCAAUGGGCGAAAGCCUGACGGAGCAACGCCGCGUGAGUGAUGAAGGUCUUCGGAUCGUAAAACUCUGUUAUUAGGGAAGAACAUAUGUGUAAGUAACUGUGCACAUCUUGACGGUACCUAAUCAGAAGGCCACGGCUAAGUACGUG
rnacentral:rRNA from 1 species